CGGACGGGUGAGUAACGCGUGGAUAACCUGCCUCAUACAGGGGGAUAACAGUUAGAAAUGACUGCUAAUACCGCAUAAGCGCACAGGACCGCAUGGUCCGGUGUGAAAAACUCCGGUGGUAUGGGAUGGAUCCGCGUCUGAUUAGCUGGUUGGUGAGGUAACGGCCCACCAAGGCGACGAUCAGUAGCCGGCCUGAGAGGGUGAACGGCCACAUUGGGACUGAGACACGGCCCAAACUCCUACGGAAGGCAGCAG
rnacentral:rRNA from 1 species